AUACGUAGGGUGCGAGCGUUGUCCGGAAUUACUGGGCGUAAAGAGCUCGUAGGUGGUUUGUCGCGUCGUCUGUGAAAUUCCGGGGCUUAACUCCGGGCGUGCAGGCGAUACGGGCAUAACUUGAGUACUGUAGGGGAGACUGGAAUUCCUGGUGUAGCGGUGAAUUGCGCAGAUAACAGGAGGAACACCGGUGGCAAAGGCGGGUCUCUGGGCAGUAACGGACGCUGAGGAGCGAAAGCAUGUGUAGCGAACAGGAUUAGAUCCACUGGUAGUCCAUGUCGUAAACGGUGGGCGCUAGGUGUAGGGGUCUUCCACGACUUCUGUGCCGUAGCUAACGCAUUAAGCGCCCCGCCUGGGGAGUACGGCCGCAAGGCUAAAACUCAAAUGAAUUGACGGGG
rnacentral:rRNA from 1 species